rnacentral:piRNA from 1 species
UGCAAAAUGGUCGGCCAG